CAGUCGCCGCGGUAAUACCGAGGGUGCGAGCGUUAAUCGGAUUUACUGGGCGUAAAGCGUGCGUAGGCGGCUUCUUAAGUCGGAUGUGAAAUCCCUGAGCUUAACUUAGGAAUUGCAUUCGAUACUGGGAAGCUAGAGUAUGGGAGAGGAUGGUAGAAUUCCAGGUGUAGCGGUGAAAUGCGUAGAGAUCUGGAGGAAUACCGAUGGCGAAGGCAGCCAUCUGGCCUAAUACUGACGCUGAGGUACGAAAGCAUGGGGAGCAAACAGGAUUAGAUACCCCAGUAGUCCCUGUCUCUAUACC
rnacentral:rRNA from 1 species